rnacentral:rRNA from 1 species
UACGUAGGGUGCGAGCGUUGUCCGGAAUUAUUGGGCGUAAAGAGCUCGUAGGCGGCUUGUCGCGUCGGCUGUGAAAACCUGGGGCUCAACCCCGGGCCUGCAGCCGAUACGGGCAAGCUAGAAUUCGGUAGGGGAGACUGGAAUUUACGGUGUAGCGGUGAAAUGCGUAGAUAUCGUAAGGAAGACCAGUGGCGAAGGCGGGUCUCUGGACAGUUCCUGACGCUGAGGCACGAAGGUCAGGGGAGCAAACGGG